rnacentral:lncRNA from 1 species
GUUCAUCUUUUGUUGCCAGAAAAACAGAAGGGUCAAAGAAGGGCAUGUCCUUUCCCUAUAAAGACCAAUCCUGGAAGUUUCCCAGAACCCUUCAGCUUACAUCCCAUUGGCUGCAAGACUUAGUCACAGGACACAUCAGUGAGUCUGAGAAGUGUCUUUAUUCUGGAUGGCUCUGUGCCCAGCUUAAAAAAAAAUGGAGGAUUCUGUUACUAAGAAAGAAGAGGAGAAUGGAUUUCAAGAGAUAAUUAACAGUCUCUGUCACACACUGCUUGUCUUUUAUUAAGGGCAAAGCAAACCGACCUCCAGCAGGGAUGGUCUUCUAUUACAGGUUGUCCUUAUGUUUCAGAAGAAGGGAAAACCUGUUCUCUUCCUUUGUCUCCCUCCAUAUUCUCUCCAGGUCUCCUCUCCUCCCUGCCCGCCUUUCCCAGGGCCCUGGCCUCAAGGAACCACUGUGCCAGACCACCGUGGAGGACUUCUCACUUCUCAGGAAAAAGCCUCCUGACUCCAACAGAAGUAUUCGAAGCCCAUGGAAAACCUCACAAAUCCUAGAGAGAGUUAAAGAGGUGGUGAUAUUAAAGCAAACACUUUCCUGCUGUCCAAACAGACACGCCGUGGUUCUGAAUUCUGAUGGAAAGCUGUCAUCUCUGAUAAUACAUGCUUGUGAGUCCCUGAAGCUUUGGAAACCUGAGUCACAGCCACACCACAUCACUGCAGUUCUUAGCCUGAAUUUCCCAUGGGGUGCAAGCCUGUCAGCUGUGAGCAGGUGAGGCUUAUUUAAAACAUCUUCAUUUCUAGUUUGCACAACUUGGAAUAGAGCAUUCCGCGUCAUGCGAAAACAAGGACUACGUAUAGGGAGUACUCGUGUGGGAACUAGGCUUCGUUACACAGAUCAUCACACAAGGGGAAAUGACAUUCUGAGGGAAGUUAAUGAAACAGUGACAGCGUGCGGAAAUUCUGUUUAGAGAGAAAAACAAAAAGAUGGAUGAGUCUGGUUCCAACUUUAAUAUCGAAGAUGAGGGACAGCACUUAAUACCCAAGGAUUUGCCUCUUGUGCUUUUUUUUUUUAAGUUUAUUUAUUUUGAAAGAGAGAAAGAGCAGGGGAGGGGCAGAAAUGGGGAGAGAGAGAAUCUGAAGCAGGCUCUGCAUUGCCAGCACAGAGCCCAACAUGGGGCUCGCAACCCACCAACAGAACCAAGAGAUCAUGACCUGAGCCGAACUCAAGAGUCAGGUGCUUAACCGGCUGAGACGCC